CUCGUAUCCACACGCAGCACCUGCCAGCCUUUUACAGAAGCCGAAUGACGUUCACUCUGAUCCAAUCGACUUUGUAAUUGUUUUGCUUUUAUUAGCUCUUGCUAAGUUUACCUUCUGUGUGGAGAACCUCAGAAACCACAUAACUCUGAGCCAUAAGGCAUGAUAUUGUCUUCUCAGAAGUAUGAAUAAAUAAGUAUCGAGAUUUCCCACAUUUUGAUUGGAUUAAUGACUCAUUUCUCUAGGAUAUUGAAGCUGAUAGGUGAAAGGGACUUGUCUUGUCUCAGGCAUUUUUUUUUUCAUUGACUGUCACAGAAACAAAAGCGAACAAUAGCUGAAGGACCACAUGCAGAUUCAUUUUACAAAAAGCCAGCUUUAUAUGGAAUUGUGUUCGAGGAAGGAGAGAAGUAAAAGUUUCAGCUGUUAAGGCACAUACUGUUUUUGGCUAAUUACUCCAGAUCCAAGCAAGAGAGAGCCUCCUGCUGGCCUUGAAGAAGUAAGUUGCUAUGCCAUGAUAGGACCAUUUAGCAAGAACUGUGGGGAUUUCUAAGAGCUGAGAGUGACCACCUACUCCCAGGCCAACAGCCUGCAGGAAAGCAAGAACCUCAGUCCUGCAAUCACAAGGAACCACAAAGAAAGAAACCAACAACCACAUGAGUUUGGAAGAUUACACCUAGCUCUAGAUGAGACUAUAGGCAGCUAAUGCCUUGAUUACAGCUUUGUAAGACUCUGAGCAGAAAACCCAGUUCAGCUGGACCUGAACUCUUGACCCACAAAAACUGUGAGGUAAUAAAUGUAGAUUGUUUUAAGCCAUUAAGUUUGCGGUAAUUUAUUAUGAAGCAGUGGAUAACUAAUACAAAUACGAUGGUGGAAAAUGAAAGAAAGAAACAUGGAAAAAGUAAGAAAGAAACAUAGGAAUAAUGAAUAUAAACACUUUAUAUAAAUAUGGCAUGACAACUUAUAUGUUUAUUUUACAUUUUCUUGUUUUCUCUUUCAGCCAUUGAUUUAUUUCAAGCCCUUAUCUUUCUUGUAUUUAGGGGGCUAGAUUAACAUAAUAUAUUAAUUGUAUGUGAUAUAUAUAUAUAUACCUUAAGAUUCUACCAAUGUUUGUUUGGACGUUAAAACAAUGAAAUCAGACUUCAUCAGCAACGAAAUAAUUGUGGUGAAGAAAACUUUGGCUGAAGCUCUAUAAUUAAAUGGAAUGUCAUGUACAAAAACCAACUCAAGAUACAUUAAAGACUUAAAUAUAAAACCAAAAACUAUAAAAACCCUGGAAGACAACCUAGGCAAUACCAUUCUGGACACAGGAACAGCAAAGAUUUCAUGACAAACAUGCAAUUGCAGCAAAAGCAAAAAUUGACAAAUAUGAUAUAUUUAAACUUAAGAGCUUCUGCACAGCAAAAGAAAUUAUCAGCAGAGUGAGCAGACAACCUACAGAAUGGGAGAAAAUACUUGCAAACUAUGCAUCUGACAAAGGUCUAAUAUCCAGCAUCUAUAAGGAACAAACAAAUUUACAAGAAAAAGACAAAUAACCCCAUUAAAAAGUGGGCAGAGGACAUAAACAGACAUUUUCCAAAAGAAGGCAUACAUGUGGCCAACAAGCAUAUAAAAAAUAUUCAACAUCACUAAUCAUUAGAGAAAUGCAAAUGAAAAACACAAUGAGAUAUCAUCUCAUACCAGUUAUAAUGGCUAUUAUUAAAAAGUCAAAAAAUAAUAGAUGCUUGUGAGGUUGCAGAGAAAAGGGAAGGCUUUUACACUGUUGGUGGGAGUGUAGAUUAGUUCAAUCAUUAUAGAAAGCAGUGUGGUGAUUCCUCAAAGAGUUAAAAACAGAACUAACAUUUGACCUAGCAAUCCCAUUACUGGGAUUUAUAUACCUUUCGGUACAUAAAUCGUUCUACCAUAAAGACACAUACACAGAUAUGUUCAUUGCUGCACUAUUCACAACAGCAAACACAUGGAAUUAACCUCGAUGCCCAUUAAUGGCAGAUUAUAUAAAGAAAAUGUGGUACAUAUACACCGUGGAAUACUAUGCAACCAUAAAAAGCAAUGAGAUGCUGUUCUUUGCAGGAACACAGAUGGAUGGAGCUCGAGGCCAUUAUCCUUAGCAAACUAAUGCAGGAACAGAUAAACAAAUCCACAUGUUCUCACUUAUAAGUAGGAGCUAAAUGAUGACAACACAUGGACACCAAGAGGGGAACAAAAAACACUGGGGCCUAUUUGAAGAUGGAGGGUGGGAGGAGGGAGAGGAGCAGAAAAAAAUCACUAUUGGAUACUAGGUUUAGUACCUGGGUCAUGAAAUAAUCUGUACAAGUCCCUGUGACACAGGUUUACCUGUAUAAAAAACCUGCACAUGUACUCCUGAACCUAAAAUAAAAUUUUAAAUGAAAAAAAUGAAAGAUUGAGUGUGAUGACACGUAUACAGUAAGAACAGUAUAUCAGUUUCUUUGUUAUUAGCUUCAUUUGGUAAUUUAGAUUUGAUAGCCAUUUUUAGUAAUUACUUUCAUUACACAUUAUUAAAUUUCAAAUGGAGAUGGUGGCUGUCCAGUACAAGAUAAUUUACAAAAAAAAACACAGUCAAAUUUGCUGAUAACUUUUCAGAGGACAGGAAAUUUCCUAUAUAACAACUGCAGAGGAAACACAGAGAGGACAGAACUAAUUUGUGAUUAUCUUAGCACUUUCAAAUAGUCAUGUCCAUGAAAGUUACUCAAUUAUGUUAAGUAUUAAGAGAUAUUCUCAAAUCUAACAUACUUUCAAAUUUUAGACAUCAUAACCUUUUAUUUUAUCCCACAGAUAUUGAUCCUUUGAAGCAGAUGUCACCCAUGAGCCAAAUACAGUUCACCACUUGUUUUUGUAUAGUUUGCAAGCAAAUAAAAGCUUUUACAUUUUUAAAUGAUUGAACAAAAUAAAAGGAAUAAUAUGACAUUAAAAUUAUGUGACAUUCAAAUGUCAGCGCUGAUAAAUGCAGUGCUAUUGUAACACAGCUACACACAUUCAUUUACAUAUUGUUUAGGGCUGUUUUUGUACUACAACAAUAGAAAUGAGUAGUCAUUGACACCGAGAUUGGAUGUGGCCUAGAAAACCGAAAACACAUACUAUCUGUUCCUUUUUAGAAAAAAUUUGCUGACCCUUUCCCUAGAAUAUGUUGUGUUUUGAAAACCAUCUCUAAAAAUAAACAAUGCAU
rnacentral:lncRNA from 10 species